GACGUAGGGCGCGAGCGUUGUCCGGAGUCAUUGGGCGUAAAGAGCGUGUAGGCGGUCCGGUAAGUCCGCUGUGAAAGUCGGGGGCUCAACCCUCGAAUGCCGGUGGAUACUGUCGGGCUAGAGUGCGGAAGAGGCGAGUGGAAUUCCUGGUGUAGCGGUGAAAUGCGCAGAUAUCAGGAGGAACACCUAUUGCGAAGGCAGCUCGCUGGGACGUAACUGACGCUGAGACGCGAAAGCGUGGGGAGCAAACAGG
rnacentral:rRNA from 1 species